GAUGAAGAACGUAGCGAAAUGCGAUAAGUAAUGUUAAUUGCAGAAUUCAGUGAAUCAUCGAAUCUUUGAACGCACAUUGCGCCCGCCAGUAUUCUGGCGGGCAUGCCUGUUCGAGCGUCAUUUCAACCCUCAAGACCCCUUCGGGGGACUUGGUGUUGGGGACCGGCACAGGGGCCUGCCUGCUUGUCUUGCAGCGCCCUCGCCGCCCCCGAAAUGAAUUGGCGGCCUCGUCGCGGCCUCCCCUGCGUAGUAGCACAACCUCGCAACGGGAACGUGACGGCGGCCACUGCCGUAAAACAACCCAAUUUUAUUAGAGUUGACCUCGAAUCAGGUAGGAAUACCCGCUGAACUUAAGCAUAUCAAUAAGCGGAGGA
rnacentral:misc_RNA from 1 species